UGCCAUGUGGGCGAUCUGGCUGCGACAUCUGUCACCCCAUUGAUCGCCAGAGUUGAUUCGGCUGAUCUGGCUGGCUAGGUGGGUGUCCCCUUCCUCCCUCACCGCUCCAUGUAUGUCCCUCCUGAAGCUGCGCGCUCGCUCGAAGAGGACCACCAUCUCUGCUAGAGGAGGGCCAGUCUUCGGUCAAGGGUAUACGAGUAGCUGCGCUCCCCUGCUAGAACCUCCAAACAAGCUCUCAAGGAAGUCUUGUAUUCUAUAAUGAGGAAUGUGGAUUUAAGUAUAAGGAUAAUGGGAAGCCUU
ensembl:misc_RNA 7SK 7SK RNA